rnacentral:rRNA from 1 species
UACGUAGGGGGCAAGCGUUGUCCGGAAUCAUUGGGCGUAAAGCGCGUGUAGGCGGCCCGGUAAGUCCGCUGUGAAAGUCGGGGGCUCAACCCUCGGAUGCCGGUGGAUACUGUCGGGCUAGAGUGCGGGAGAGGCGAGUGGAAUUCCUGGUGUAGCGGUGAAAUGCGCAGAUAUCAGGAGGAACACCAAUUGCGAAGGCAGGUCUCUGGGCCACUACUGACGUUGAGAAGCGAAAGCAUGGGGAGCGAACAGG